rnacentral:rRNA from 1 species
UACGUAGGGUGCGAGCGUUAAUCGGAAUUACUGGGCGUAAAGCGUGCGCAGGCGGUUUUGUAAGCCAGAUGUGAAAUCCCCGGGCUUAACCUGGGAAUGGCAUUUGGGACUGCAAGGCUGGAGUGCGGCAGAGGAGACUGGAAUUCCUGGUGUAGCAGUGAAAUGCGUAGAUAUCAGGAGGAAUACCGAUGGCGAAGGCAGGUCUCUGGGCUGACACUGACGCUCAUGCACGAAAGCGUGGGGAGCAAACGAGGAUUAGAGUACCCGGG